CGAGCUGCCGUCACCGUCCAUCUUUUUCCCCAUCCGCAAGCACAGAGUAGAGCAGAGCCACCUCGCGCUCGAUUCCGGGAGCCUUGCUGCAUCUUGAUCCAAUUCCUCGCGCCCACAGAUCCUCCACAACCCAAUACACACCCCACACCCCUCCUUUUUGCGGCUAAGCGCCGGCCAAGUCGAUCUCGUCGUUGUUUCCGUCCGUCGGCCGCCAUAGACACCCUCACGGUGAGCACCUUGUUUUUGUUCUUAUCCGUAUGAGAUGUUGGCCCAGAUAGCUUGUGUAGCGACUUCGGAAGCUAUAGUGCAAGCUUGUUGCCGUAGAGACCGGCCGGAGUGCCAUUGUCGUCAUCAUCCGCGUCGGCAAGUCAUGGCAGUGUCCACCGCCGUAGUCGCACGCCCUUCUCCUGUCCACCAGCUUCGUCAAGAACACCACCAGAGGAUGCGCAAGGACCUAGGUAACACAGCCGGUUAGCCCCCGGCACCGGAAACCUCGCCGCCGGCGAGCUAGCGCCGCUACCCGCCGGGGGUACCCGCGAUCAAGGCGGGCAACUGUGCCUUGACCCGGGGGCCCGCUUGUCAGUGGCCGUGGGUAGGUGGAGCGCGGGUGAGAAAAGAGAGUUCCGACGGGUUUUGGGGAAAAAUAGAUUUAGGUGUUUUAGAUAUUAGUUUUAAAUCCAGUUCUCAUAUUUAAUUCACCAAAAUUUGUAGAAUUGUCAAAAAUAGUGAAACAAAUUUUGUUAGGUUUGUUUCAUUUUCCUUUAUGCAUUAAAAUUCUUAAACCUUAGGAGAAGAUAUAAAAAAUUAGGUAUUUAUUUAGUACGUUUAUUUAAGGUAUUUAAAUAAAUACUUAACCUUUAUAAAAUGUAUAAAAUUUGUAAUAAUGUUUUAUUAUUCAAAAAUGCUUAUUAAUCCAUAGGAAUUAGGUUUUGAGAUUAGAAAUUAUUUAUAAUACUUUUCUAAAUAAAAGAAAAGGUUUAAUUUAGGUUAGUUAUGAAAAUUAAUUUGUGGGUUAAUCUUUUGGGUAGAUUAGUGUUGGCUUGCAACUUGUAUAGUCGUAUUCUAAUUGUGCCUUGCAUCAUAUCAUAGAACCUGAAGCUCCUGAAGUGGAUUUUGUGAAAUUAUCUGAAAGUUUAAGGAAGGUGUUGAAGUUGCUCCUUUUAUUAACACUUUUAUACCCCAGGCAAGCCCUGAAGCAUCUAUACCUAUCUAUUUUCAGAAAUUACUAUUCAUGUGUUCAAAUUAUUGGUUAUUUCCCUAUUUAUGCAUUAGGUCUAGAAGUGGAUUGAAACCUUACUUUCAUGCACAAUCCGACAAUCCGACCUUGUUUGUUAAGGACAUCUUUACCGCCUGUUCAAAAUAGCUUGCUCAAAAUAAUUAGUAAUUGUCCCAUUCUUAGCAAAGUGUAAUCAUGCUAUUCCAAUCUUUUUAGUACAUCUGGUGCUCAGCAACCUAAGGUAACAUUGUUCAUAUAUAUUUUAUCUGAGCACCCUAAGGUAACAGUGUUCAUAUAUGUUUUAUGUCAAGGAAAUGGCCUGUUUUGAAAAUAGUGGACGGAAGCUUGGAUGGAAUCAAGAAAGGAGACUUGAGCUCCGUAGUUCCGUCUACUCGGUUAAUGAAUUAAGGCCCGUUCGUUGUCUUAACCAGUGAUCAAGUGAUUUUACCUAGUUGCUUACUGUUUAUGGGACCAGUAAAGUCCGGUAGGUUAGUUGGCUCUCUGAUUGGAAAUAUUCUUACCUGUGCUUGAUGUGCUGGAGAAUGGCAGGGGCGUAGUCUGAAACUCACAUGGAGAUCAGGCCAGAUGUGGGGUCCCAUGUGGGGGUGGGUCCCUGGAUUCGGGUAAUUAUAAUUCCGAUCUUUGGGUACGGCUAAUUGAAAGGUCGUUAUGCGCAACUCGCGCAGUUGUGCAUGGCUGGUGAUUAGGUAUUUCCUGUAGGAUGUAAAUCGGUAUGGAUCGUUGCAAUUGUCGAUUAUGAGUGCACUUGAUCAUCACUUAAGCAUCGUAGAGUAAUCAAAUUGAAUAUAAUGUUUUCCUUGAAUUAUUAAUAUUGUAUGAUGUUUAGUUCCACUUGAUUGAUCAAAAUGUUUUAUUCACCUAACCAGGUAAGAACUAAUUAGUUUUAAAAUAAUAAAACUAACGUUCCACAAGUAGUAAGUUUUUCACAAAAAUGUUGAGUCAGCCAGUACACUAAAAAGGCUAUCAUGCUCGUAAGCAAAGUGGACACAUGAUAAACAAAUGGGUGCACUGCUGACAUACAGGUUUGAUUCAGGUCAAAGACAGUUUGCCAUUUCGUUCUGAAUGUGCACUCUUAGUUUAUGCAGAUCAUAUCUGGCAUCACUGACACUGGGAAUUGAAAAUCUAAUAUAGUUACACAUUUUAUCGAAUUAUUAGCAGAGAAGAUGCUAUGACUCAAAAGUCUUCAUCUAUUGGUUACCCAUUGGCGUAGCGUGGAAACAUAAUUGUUACUGAUGGGAACUAACUUCGCCUAUGGUGUGCCCCCCUUCUCCAUAAACUGCAUAGUAGUACGAUACUGUAAAGCUUAAUGAAACACAGGGUUGUCCUUAUUAGAAUAGGCUACAAAUUAACGGAGUAAUUGACAGACUAUUGCAAGUCACAUAUUGAUAGUUAUGCAUAUCUACAACUAUAGUUCAUAUCUUUGCAAGAAUCUAUAGUUCAUAUCUUUGCAAGAAUGCUAAGGACCAUAAAAGUUUAGUAUAGAACAGUUUCUUACAGUUACAGAUGCUAGAACAUUUUGUGUCAUCCAAAUUUGCAGUACCAGGAAGGGGGAAUCCAUGAGUAGCCUCCAGGGGCAGUAAAAUGUGACUGAAAGGAAUGUUGUACAUGCUGAUCUAGCAGCGGCACAAACGUCCCCAAAGCAAUCGCUUUUGUUUGUAGCCGCGGCACAGCUCAUCCCUGCAAUCUGUCCUCGCCUGGCACCUGGCACCGCUCCUUGGUGAGUCACAAAUCCAUGGCAACUUGUAAUAGCAAGAACAUGGAUUCAUGAAGAAUCUUUGCUGCAAACAGAAAAUGGACGGAACAGACUUGAUAUUAGAUGUCCUUGCGCAUCAGUUGCUACAUUCUAAAACUGAAAAAACUAACUAUUCAGUGACCAGCUUACGUUGGACGCAUUUCCUCGAGCACCUUCUGGGCGUCGUCCAUAUCGACAGCCACUCCAGCUGCUGGGGCACUGGCCGGCGAGCUCUGCACCAUGGGAGGUCGCACGGGUGUGCGAGGGAGAUGCCCACGCUUGCAUGUCCCAUG
rnacentral:lncRNA from 1 species